rnacentral:rRNA from 1 species
ACUCUGGGACAAGCCCUGGAAACGGGGUCUAAUACCGGAUACGAGCCUCCCGGGCAUCUGGGAGGUUGGAAAGCUCCGGCGGUGCAGGAUGAGCCCGCGGCCUAUCAGCUUGUUGGUGAGGUAACGGCUCACCAAGGCGACGACGGGUAGCCGGCCUGAGAGGGCGACCGGCCACACUGGGACUGAGACACGGCCCAGACUCCUACGGGAGGCAGCAGUGGGGAAUAUUGCACAAUGGGCGAAAGCCUGAUGCAGCGACGCCGCGUGAGGGAUGACGGCCUUCGGGUUGUAAACCUCUUUCAGCAGGGAAGAAGCGAAAGUGACGGUACCUGCAGAAGAAGCGCCGGCUAACUACGUGCCAGCAGCCGCGGUAAUACGUAGGGCGCAAGCGUUGUCCGGAAUUAUUGGGCGUAAAGAGCUCGUAGGCGGCUUGUCGCGUCGAUUGUGAAAGCCCGGGGCUUAACUCCGGGUCUGCAGUCGAUACGGGCAGGCUAGAGUGUGGU